rnacentral:rRNA from 1 species
AUGUCGCAACUGGCGUUUGUAGAUGCUUCUUAGAGGGACUGACCACGUUUAGUGGUAGGAAGUUUGAGGCAAUAACAGGUCUGUGAUGCCCUUAGAUGUUCUGGGCCGCACGCGCGCUACACUGACAAAGUCAGCGAGUAUAUAACCUUGGCCGGAAGGUCCGGGCAAUCUUGUGAAACUUUGUCGUGCUGGGGAUAGACCAUUGCAAUUAUUGGUCUUCAACGAGGAAUUCCUAGUAAGCGCAAGUCAUCAGCUUGCGUUGAUUACGUCCCUGCCCUUUGUACACACCGCCCAUCGCUACUACCGUUGGAAUGGCUUGGCG